rnacentral:rRNA from 1 species
AACGAACGCUGGCGGCAUGCCUAAUACAUGCAAGUCGAACGAGACCUUCGGGUCUAGUGGCGCACGGGUGCGUAACGCGUGGGAAUCUGCCCUUGGGUUCGGAAUAACAGCUGGAAACGGCUGCUAAUACCGGAUGAUGACGUAAGUCCAAAGAUUUAUCGCCCAAGGAUGAGCCCGCGUAGGAUUAGCUAGUUGGUGGGGUAAAGGCCUACCAAGGCGACGAUCCUUAGCUGGUCUGAGAGGAUGAUCAGCCACACUGGGACUGAGACACGGCCCAGACUCCUACGGGAGGCAGCAGUAGGGAAUAUUGGACAAUGGGGGCAACCCUGAUCCAGCAGUGCCGCGUGAGUGAUGAAGGCCUUAGGGUUGUAAAGCUCUUUUACCAGAGAUGAUAAUGACAGUAUCUGGGGAAUAAGCCCCGGCUAACUCCGUGCCAGCCGCCGCGGUAACAC